rnacentral:tRNA from 2 species
GCGGGCGUGGCGGAAUUGGUAGACGCGCAGGUUUUAGGUACCUGUGGAGUAAUCCGUGGGGGUUCGAUUCCCUCCGCCCGCACCA